CUCGACUGAGAAACGAUUCUUGGAAGAAGGCUUUCUUGAUUUUCUACGUAAGGAGCUUGCAUCUAUCUCUUAUGAUGAGAAGGACUUCACAGGGUUGCCUUUUGACUUUUGUGGUGGCUACGUAGGUUGUAUUGGGUAUGAUAUUAAAGUGGAAUGUGGAAUGCCAAUUAAUCUUCACAAAUCCAAGGCUCCAGAUGC